rnacentral:lncRNA from 1 species
UUGUUUUAUUUUUUUUAUCAUGGAAAACCUAAUCUGUCUUGAUUCACACACUAUGUUUGAUGGGUAAAGAAGGUGGAGAAGCUCUAAAUAUUUAUAUGUUAAUAUUCUCACAUGCAUCUUCCCAUUUAAUCAUCAAAACAGCCCUGCAGGUAGGUACUACUUUUAUAGCUGCUUGAUAGACAGGGAGACAAUGGCUCAAAGAAGUGAAGCUUCACAAGGGCCAUCAGCUACUAAGGUGGCAGAGGAGGGUCUUAAACUCAGGUCAGAGUCCACACACCAGGAUUGCACACCCCAUUGCCUCCGACAGUGUUCAUUCACUCACCAGGCGGGGCACUGAACUUGGUCUCCACCAACAUCUCAAUCUUCCUAAGUCUGGUUAGUAGCAGUUUUGUUCAUCCCAAAUGAUCAUUUUCCUAAUUUAACUGAUUUUAUGGAACUUUUCUGCUGGUUAAGAUGAUGUAAGAAAACUAAUUUAAAGAGCAAUCAACCUGUAGUUAACAAUGCUAUAUUAUACACUGGAAAAAAUGGUAAAAGAGUAGAUCUCAUGUUAAACAUCCUUGCUCCAAUAAAAACCAAAAAACAAGAUGAAUUGACUUUCUUGCCAAUAUAAAGAGAUAUUCAAAUGCACAUGUGCAUAUUAUCAUAGUCCAACUUCUCUGUCAAGUACCAAAUAGACACAACAUUUAUUCCAGUUGUUUAUACUGUAUAUUAUUUUUAUUUCCAGAAUGACCUUGUGUGACCGCCUUAUUCAUGGAUUAAAUACAUUCCAGUAGUGUACACAUAACUAAUCUAUGGAAGGCAUGUAAAAUGAGAUUAGUUCAUGCAAAGUGGAGCGCAUUUCAUUUCAGUUCCCCUUCCAAGCUGAUUGGUUUAGCAGAAAUUUUCAUCUGUCCAAACUAUUCCAGUGAUCUAUUCUGCUGACUUCUCUCUCUGUUGCCUUUAGAAGUAGUCACGUUUCCAUUCAAACUAUUCCAACUCUUGUAGUAACCGCACUUCACAAAGCUUUAUGUAACAUCAAGUUCUUGUCCUGAAAAUAAAAGUCUGGUUACAUUCCUUGUGAAUGCCUUCCUUCAUCUGGGUGGAAUUGAAACUUUUCUGUUUUAUCAGUUCAGAUAACCACCAGGUCACACAGAGGCCACAAAGGAAUCAACAGAAAUGCUUGCUGCUCAACACUUUGCUGGCUUCAGCCACUGCCUUUAGAAAGUCAAUAGAAUGUAUUUUCCUGACAUAAGCUACCUACUUUUUAAAUUUCCCUAUGCCUUUCAUACUCAAGAAGCUGUGAUUCAAAAACUAAAUGAAAUUUCCCUGUUUAUGUUAAAAGUCUACUCCAGAUAUUUUCAGUGACUAUUUUGUCUUUUUAAAGUGUAUGGAUUUCAGAUACAGAUAGAUAGGAUUCUAGUCCAUGACCUCUGGUCUCUCAACUUGCUAUUGCUUUUAAUAAAAAUUAGAGCAGUUGGCUCUGUAGCAGUCAGAUUUGAUUGUAGUUCCUGAUAAAGUAAGCCUUUAUCCAUUUAAAUCCUACUUUAAAGGACAUCAGGACAACCAACCUGAAUUUUUAAAAACUAUUAAUGUUCUGAAUGUUCUUACAAAGUAAGAAAAAGAAACAUGUUCCAAAUUUUUCUGACAUAGUAUUAAAGUUGUACUUCAAUAUAAAGCCUUGAGUGGUAUUUGAAGACAUCUGAUUAAAUGCUUACUGGCUUAGGAGUGCUGAGCAUGAAAUUAAAAGUCAGCAGAAAGUAACAAUGAUGACUACCUACUACUAAAGGAAAUGUAAGUGGCUUUACCCUACAGCCCUGCACCAACCUUUUCCUAGUUGUGCAUUUCCACAGAUAUGGAUUCAGCUUUAUUCCUUCGUUAAGUAAAAUAAGUAAGGAUGAUGGCGGUCAGUUGCCUCUAAAAAGGUAAAGCAUUCCUUCCAAAUCCAUAUGAUACCAUGUCUAUGUCCUAGUUUUACCUAUGCUACCAUAGAAAAGACCUAAAACCGAGUGUGGAAUAUUUUGGUCCUAGAAGCCUAGCAAAAACGACUUGUACAUACUUCAUAACAAAAGUUAUGUACUUAUCUCAUCAAUAGGUUAUAAUAUUGGUGUUGCUUAUCAUCUCAAAGAUCCCAAAGAGUCAUGUUUAUAAGAAAGACAAUAAAUCAUAUGAUAUCUGCCAUUCACAAAAAUAAAAUUAUACUUAAUAUAAUGUUAGCAAGGGCUCUUAAUAGGGAAUUUUUUAAAAUUCAGACUUUGAUAUAUGUUUUGGUACGUGAUUGCUGGAUAAAAACUAUUCCAACACAGUUAUUUAAAGCAAAAACAAAUGGAAUAGGAGAAAGUAUUUGUAAACCUUGUAUCUGAUGAGGGGUUAGUAUCCAAAAUAUGUAAGGUACUCAUGUAACUAGAUAGCAAGAAAACAAAAACAGUAAUACCUGUGAACUAUUAUUCAGCAAUAGAAAACAGUGAGCUGCUAUCACUUGACACAACAUGGAUGAACCUAGAGGACAUUAUAUUAAGUGACACAGAAAGACAUUGUGUGAUGUCGCUUAUAUGUAGAAUCUAAAAAAAAAAAAUUGAGUUUGUAGCAGCAGAGAGGAGAAUGGUGGUUACAGGGGUUUCAGGGUGGAAGAAAUGGGAAGAUGUUGGUCAAAGGGUACAGAGUUUCAAAUAUGCAGUACGAAUAAGUUCUGGAGAUCUAAUGUAUAACAUAGUGACUAUAAAUAAUACUGUAUUAAAUAAUUCAACUUUUCUAAGAGAGUAGAUCUUUUUUUUAAAAAAUUGAGGUGUUAUUGAUUUACAUUGCUGUAUUUUAGGUGUAUAACAAAGUAAUUUUUUAUUACAUAUAUAUAUAAAGAGUUUAAUAUUUUUUCAGAUUAUUUUCCAUUAUAGGUCAUGACAGGAUAUUGAAUAUAAUUCCUUAUGCUAUACUGUAAAUCCUUUUUGCUUGUCUAUUUUAUAUAUAGUAGUUUAUAUCUGUUAGUUCCAUAGUCCUAAUCCCCCUCUCCCCUCUGGUAACCAUUAAUUUGUUUUCUACAUCUGUGAGUCUUUUUCUGUUUUGUAUAUAGAGUCAUUUGUGUUAUUCAAUUUUGUUUUAUUUUAUUGCUUUUUAGGGUCACACCUGCAGCAUAUGAAAGUUCCCAGGCUAGGGGUCAAAUCACUCCUGUAUUUUCCAGUGUAGGCCACAGCCACAGCAGCAAUGGGGGAUCUGAGCCAUGUCUGUGACCUACACCACAGCUCACAGCAAUGCCAGUGCCUUAAUCAUUGAGUGAGGCCAGGAACUGAAUCCACAUCCUCACAGUUACUCAUCAGGUUCAUUACAGCUGAGCCACAAUGGGAACUCCUCAUGUUAUUUUUUAGAUUCCACAUAUAAGUGAUAGUUUUCAUCUUUUCCAGAUAUAUGCACGGGACUGGGAUUGCUGGAUCACAUGGUAGUUCAAGUUUUAAUAUUUUAAGGAGCCUCCAUACUAUUGCCCAUUGUGAUUGCACCCAUUUAUAUUCCCACCAAUAGUGUAGGAGGGUUGCUUUUUCUCCACGCCCUCUCCAGCAUUUACUGUUUGUAGGUUUUUUAAUAAUAACCAUUCUGACUUAUGUGAGGUGAUACCUCAUUGUGGUUCUGAUUUACAUUUCUCUAAUUACUGAUGUUGAACAUCUUUUCAUUUGCUUAUGGCCAUCUGUAUGUCUUCUUUGGAUAAAUAUCUAUUUAGGUCUUCUGCCAAUUUUUUGAUUGGGUUGUUUGAUUUUUUGAUAUUGAACUGUAUGAGCUAUUUUCAUAUUUUGGAUAUUAACCCCUUGUCAGCUGCAUCAUUUGCAAAUAAUUUCUCCCAUUCCAUAGGUUGUUUGCUCAUUUUGUUUAUGGUUUCCUGUACUGUGCUAAAGCUUUUCCAUUUGACUAGGUCCCAUUUGCUUAUUUCUCCUUUUAUUUCUUUUGCCUAGAGUAACUGAUCUAAGAAAAUAUUGCUAUAAUUUAUGUCCAGGAAUGUUUUGAUUUUCUUCUCUUCUAGGAGUUUGUAAUAUCAGGACUUGUAUUUAGGACUUUAAACCAACUGGAGUUUACUUUUGGAUAGGAUGUGAAGGAGUAUUCUAAUUUCAUUGAUUUAUGUGUAGCUGUCCAGCUUUCCCAGUGGCACUUGUUGAAGAGACUGUCUUUUCUCUAUCGUAUAUUCUUGCCUCCUGUAUCAUAGAUUAGUUGAUAUAGGUGUUUGGGUUUAUUUCUGGGAUCUCUAUUCUAUUCCACUGAUUUCUAUGUCUAAUUUUGUACCAAUACCACAUUGUUUUGAUUACUGUAUCUAUGUUGUACAGUCUUAGGUCUGUUGUGAGUCUUAGGCAUCAAGCUUUGUUCUUUUUUCUCAGAAUCACGUUGGGUCUUUGUGAUUCCAUAUAAAUUUUAGGGGUUAUUUGUUUUAGUUCUGUGAAAGAUAGAAUGGGUAUUUUGAUAAUGAAUGCAUUAACUCUGUGGAUUGUUUUAGAUAGUAUGACCAUUUUAACAAAAUUAAUUCUUCCUAUCCAAGAGUGUAGGAUAGCUUUCCAUUUCUUUGAAUCCUCUUUAGCAGUGUUUUAUAGUUUUCAGCUUAUAGAUCUUAAGAAUUCUUGGUUAAGUGUAUUUAUCCCUAGGAUUUUUUUGAACAUUGUUUUAUUUUAUUGAAGUAUAGUUGAUUUACAAUGUUAUGUUAAUUUCUGCUGUACAGCAAGAUGAUUCAGUUAUACAUACAUGUGUGUAUGUGUAUAUAUAUAUAUGAAAUACUCUUUUUAAAAAUAUUCCUUUCAAUUAUCAUUUAUUAUAGGAUAUUAAAUAUAGUUCUCUGUGUUGAUUAUCCCUUUCAUGUAUAUUAGCUUACAACUGCUAGCCCCAAAUACCUACCCUCAUUCCCUCCCCCUUGGCAACCACAAGAUUGUUCUCUAUGUCUGUGAGUCUGCUUCUGUUUUUUAGAAAGGGUCUUUUGUGUUAUUUAUUUAUUUUUUUUUUAGAUUCCACAUGUAAGUAAUAUUAUAUGGUAUUUGUCUUUCUCUUUAUGACUUAAAUCACUUAGGAUGAUAAUAUCUAGGUCUGCCUAUGUUGCUGAAAAUGGCAUUAUUUCUUUCUUUUUGGCUUAGUGGUAUUCCAUUGUGUAUAACUACCACAUCUUUUUUAUCCAUUCAUUUACCAACAUAUGUUUAGGUUGUCUUGGCUAUUGUGAAUAGAGCUGCAAUGAACAUAAGGGUGCAUGUAUCUUUUUGAAUGAAAGGUUUCUCUGGCUAUAUCCCCAGGAGUGGGAUUGCUGGAUCAUAUGGUAACUUUAUCCUUAGUUUUCUGAGGAAUCUCUGUGCUGCUCUCCAUGAUGGUUGCGCCAGUUUACAUUCCCACCAACAGUGUAAAAGUAUUCCCUUUUCUUCACAACCUUAAGAGAAUAGACCUUAAUUUUUCUCACCAAAGGAGCUGGGGAAAACAGAGAACCAUGUGAGAUGAUGUAUAUGUUAGUUAUCUUGAUUGUGAUAAUUAUUUCACUAUGUAUACACAUAUUAAAACAUCCUUCAAUAUAUACAAUUUUCUCAAUUAUACUUCAGUAGAACUCAGAAAAGUAAAAAUAGUAGUUCCCAUUGUGGCUCCGUGGUUAAGGACCUGACAUUGUCUCCAUGAGCAUGCAGGUUUGAUCCCUGGCCUUGAUCAGUGGAUUAAGGAUCUGGUGUUGCCACAAGCUGCAGUGUAAGUCAUAGAUGAGCCUUGGAUAUGGUGUUGUCAUGGCUGUGGCAUAGGCCACAGCUACAGCUCCGAUUUGACCCCUGGCCUGGGAACUUCCACAUACCACAGGCACAGCUGUAAAAAGAAAAAAACAAACAAAAUUGUUUCCUCAUGAAUCUUUAAUUGGACAACAUUAUGUCUGGUAUAUUUGCCUCUGUCCUCUAUGCUAUGAGUUGGCCCAAAUGAGGCUGAUAGAUGCUGUUCUAAGUGGCUUACUCACAUGGUAAACAAAUCUUUUAUUGCUGUCACAUGGUAGCUCAGCCAGGGCUGUUGCCUAGAAGCCUAGAUUCUUGCUCACAUGAACCUGUCUGCGGUGCUGCUUUGGCUGUCUCAGAGCAUGGAGACUGAGUUCUAAGAAGGAGAAAACAGUCUUAGACGCACUAGUCUUCCUAAAGACGCAGCCUCAACUCAGGUGCAACAUCAUUUCUGCUUAUAUUUUAACUGUGAAAGCAGUCCCAAGCCAGCUAAAGCUCAAGUGGGUGAGGACAUAGACUGCAUUUGAUAAGAGAGUGGCUUGCAUGUGUAGGAAAGGAAUAAAUUGAUACUAGCCAUCUUUGCAUACAAGCCCCCACAUUGUAAUUAAGAGGACAACAGAUUUGAAAGUAGGAAUGAGUGACAUUAGACAUUUUAUUUCUAGUCAGCAUAGUCCACUGUAUUCAUUUCAGGAGAUUUUAUUUUAUUUUAUUUUGUCUUUUUGCCAUUGGGCCGCUCCUGUGGCAUAUGGAGGUUCCCAGGCUAGGGGUCGAAUUGGAGCGAUAGCUGCCAGCCUACUCCAGAGCCACAGCAACGCAGGAUCCGAGCCGCAUCUGCAACCUACACCACAGCUCAUGGCAACGCCGGAUCGUUAACCCACUGAGCAAGGCCAGGGAUUGAACCCGCAACCUCAUGGUUCCUAGUCGGAUUCGUUAACCACUGCGCCAUGAUGGGAACUCCCUCAUUUCAGGAGAUUUUAGAAACUCCUUUUCAAUUGUUGACCUAAUCGGUUUUUCCUUUGUAAAUGUUGGUUACUAACGUUUAUUUGAAAUACAGAGAAGACUGAUGUCAAUCACAAAAGUCUAUCAGACACAGAGGGGGUACUUGAAACCACAGCAUAGCUCUUGAUUAUACUUUCUGAUUUGAUAGUGCUAAGCAAUACCUUAAAAUCUGACUAGCUUUCUGGAUUGUUAUAUUUUUCAAUAGGACUUUAACUAAUAUUAGGUGCUUUUUUUGGGCUAGAGAUUGAAAAAGACUAUUUUGAAAUCACGAUAUAAAAUAAUGACACAGGAAACACAAAAUAGCUGAGUUUGCUCGAUUUUAACUCAGGAUACAAGAAUAAAUGCCUGCAUCCACAAAAGUAAUGUUUUUGCCUAAUUCCUUUAGAGAAUUGCAUCUGAGAGGAUGGUUUCUCUCUAGGCAAGACUAAAAUAACCAUUUUGUGGUGAGGCUACUGCUCUCAGUGUCAACUUGGGUAUUUCAAGCUCAAUGUAAUAUGGUUAGUAGUCUUGAGAGCGUCAUAUCAGAGUUUUUCAACCUUGGCAGUAUUGACAUUUUAGGCUGGAUUAUUUUUGCUAUAGGAGUUUGUUCAGUGCAUUGUAGGAUGAUUAGCAGCAUGUCUGGCCUCUAUCCACUAGAUGCCAAUAGUUUCUCACCAGUCGUGAAACCUAAAAUGCCUCGACAUCGCCAAAUGUUCCCUGGGGUAAAAUUGCCUCCUUUUAAGAACCACUGGGUUUAAUAAAUUUAUAAUUAGAAAAAAUACAUUUCCCUGAGGCAACUUGCCUUAUCUCAGUAGUGUUGUUCUGUCAUCCCUUUCAUAAUUGGAGGUAUCUUCAUGACCUAGAUUUGUCUUCCAUUUAAAU